AUAGAACUCCCUUCUUCCGGAAAUACUUGUCCUCGAAAUGGAUGUAUUUAGACUUAUUUUAGUUAUAGAUGCAUUCAUUUUAUUUAUUUCUAGGACAAGUAUAUCUGGACGACGAGAGUACUAU
rnacentral:pre_miRNA from 1 species